UCUUUGGCCCUGUGGCAUGGGCCAUGAAGUCUCAAUCGCACUGUGCGUGUGCACCCGCAUGUGGUAUUUUGUGGAAGAGUCACACUCAAGGGGCCAGUUUGCUGACCACUGACCUAACCUAACAACAAAACUUUAAAAUAUAUGAAGCAAAAAAGUGACCCUGAAAGGAAAAAUGGACAAUUCAACAAUAGUAGGAGGAGACUUCAAUAACAGAUAACAAAAGCCAAGUAGAAGAUCAAGAAGAAUGUAGAAUAACUGAAAAUAACAAACGAUCUAGACCAGUGGUUCUCAACCUUCUUAAUGCCGCGACCCUUUAAUACAGUUCCUCAUGUUGUGGUGACCCCCAACCAUAAAAUUAUUUUCGUUGCUACUUCAUAACUGUAAUGUUGCUACUGUUAUGAAUCGUAAUGUAAAUAUCUGAUAUGCAGGAUGUAUUUUCAUUGUUACAGAUUGAACAUAAUUAAAGCAUAGUGAUUAAUCACAAAAACAAUAUGUAAUUAUAUAUGUGUUUUCCGAUGGUCUUAGGCGACCCCUGUGAAAGGGUUGUUGGACCCAAAGGGGUCACGACCCACAGGUUGAGAACCACUGAUCUAGACCUAACCAACAACAGCAGAAGAAACAUUCUGCUCAAGUGAACUUGGAAUAUUCUCCAGGAUCAUAUGUUAGGGCAUAGUAAAAUAAGCCUCAAUAAAUGUAAAAGGACUGAAAUUAUACAAGUCCAUAUAAGUCCUUUAACCACAAUGGAAUAAAAUUAAAAACUAACAACGGGAUAUUUGGGAAAUUCCCAAACAUAUGGAAAUUAAACAACAUAUACCUAAAUAAACAGUGGGUCAAAGAAGAAAUCACAAGAGAAAUUAGAGAAUACUUUGAAAUUAAUGAAAAUAAAACACAGCAUACCAAAACUUGUACACUAAAGCAGUACUUAAGAGAAAACUUAUUACUGUUAACAGCUAUCUUAAAAAUUAAGAAUGAUCUCCAAUCAGUAACCUUCCACCUUAAGAAACUUGAAAAAGGAGAGCAAAUUAAACACAAAGCAAGCAGAGGGAGAAAAUGAUAAACAUUUGAGUGGAAAUAAACUGGAGAAUAGCAAACAAUAGAGAAAAUUAAUGGAAUCAAAAGUUAGUGCUUUGACAAGAUCAGAGUACUUUGAUGUUGAUAAAAUUGACAAACCUUCCACUGGAUUUUACCAUAUUACUCAUAUUACUAGUCAGGAAUUAAAUAGAUUAAAUUACUACCAACCUUACAGAAAUAGAAAGGGUUAUAAUAGAAAUACUGUGAAGAAUUGUAUGCCAACAGGUUGGAUAACCUAGAUGAAAUGGACAGAUUCCUAGAAAGACACUGUUACUGAUUUCUAAUUUGAUUAUGUUGUGGUCAAAGAACAUACUUGGUAUGAUUGCAGUUCUUUUAAAUUUCUUGAGGUUUGUUUUCUGGCUCAAGAUGUGGUCUUUAAAAAGCUCACCUUUUAAAAACAAAGAUUAGUCCGUAGGCAGUGCCAUUCCAUAGUUAAUGCUGUCUUAGUUGUAUAAGAGCCAUGUGGAUAUUCUGCAUGUAAGAUACCUGGCAGAUGUGCUGUUGCUGUGUUCACUGUCUUUUGAUCAAAAGAAGGCAUGGUAUUAGCUGUUGUGCGAUUAAUAACCACAACAAUAAUGGUGUUAAUAAAGUUGACACUACUCUUUAUUGAACUCUUAUAUACACUCUGCUUACUGUGUUUAGACAGAGCAAAGAUUUUAUUUGAAUUAUGUCAUUCAAUCCAACAGUCUGCUGAGAUAACAGCCAUUGUUUUCACCAUUUUUAAAAAUAUAUAUUUUAUUGAUUUUUUACAGAGAGGAAGGGAGAGGGAUAGAGAGUUAGAAACAUCAAUGAGAGAGAAACACUGAUCAGCUGCCUCCUGCACACUCCCUACUGGGGAUGUGCCCGCAACCAAGGUACAUGCCCUUGACCGGAAUCGAACCUGGGACCCUUGAGUUCGCAGGCCGACGCUCUAUCCACUGAACCAAACCGGUUAGGGCUUCACCAUUUUUUAAAUGCAGAAACAGGAUGUCUAGAAGUUAGAAGUUAAGUAUCUUGCUUGUGGUUAGAAUACCAGUGAAGUGAUAAACUCUCUUACAGUCCACAUUUUACCAUAGUCUCCAAGCAUAGCUGAAUGGUAGUGAUGCAGAUAAGUGAAUUCAGUAAAGAUCUUGGCAGGCACUUUGAGAUUUAGGACUUGGUUUCUGAUGUGAAAGGUCACCAUGUGACAGUAUUUGGAGUAUACAUGAGACAGCCUGUCACACGUGUUGCCACAUUGGUCACCUUUGUAGCCCUGCCUGCCUUCCCUAAGCAUGGUUCCCUAGGAUUUUGAUAUUUGCCUCCUCUGUUGUAUCCCAGGUGUUUAGCUCAGUCAGUUUCAGGACAAGCAGUGACAGCAGUAGAAAGUUGUUGAUUGGCCAUUUUUGUCCCUGGUUUGUUUAAUCAUUUAACAUCUUGCAGAGGAUAUGAACUUGGUUGAAGUGUGUGUGGAGGGUGGCAAUAAAAUUCUGUUUUAUCCUUUUCCAGUUGAGGUGUUAAAGCUCAUUAACAGCAACUUAAAACUUUUUAUAUCAUCGAUAUUACUUUUGAUUACCCAGAAUUGAAAGUUUCUGUUUUGAAUAAAGCCCAAUUUCAUGCAGACCAGCCCUCCAGGCCUAUCAGGUUACUACUUAGAAGUCUUUCAGACACCAGACCCCUGGAGAGAUGCAGAGGAACUUUCCCAACGUCACCCUCCUAGGAAGCGAUGGCAUUGGGAUUUGACCCCAGUCUGAUCCAGAGGCCUUUCUAACAUUAUUUUCUUGAGAAACUACUGUGUGCCAGGCACUGUGCUAUUAUGCAGACUGGCACUUGCCCUCAAUGAGGGAGAUAGCCAAAACACAAGUAAUAACUGAGUUAGAGAGAGUAUUGUCUGGAGAGAGAGGGUCCUGCUAUAAAUUGGGUUGUCGGGGAAGGUCUUUCUGAUGGAAAGUAAGCUGAGACCUGGAGCCAGCCAGGUGAAGCAUUCUGUACAGAGGGAACAGAAUUAGCAAAGGCCCAGGGGUGGGAAAGUGAUUGGCAUGUUGGUGUAAUUGUCAAGAUUAGAAUUCUGGAGUAGAAAGUAUGCAGAGAGCUGUGUCUUAAGGUUGUAGAGGCCAGGCAGGGCCUUCUAAGCAUUGGUUCUCAUUCUGACUACAUUGGAGAACCAUUAAGGGGGUUAAUCACACCACGUGACAUUUAAAAGCAUCACUGGUUGUGGGAGAAGGGGGCACGUAUUGGAGUAGGUGGAGGGAAGCACAGCCACUAUUUAUAUCUAAGACCAGAGAGGACAGUGAUGGGGAAAAUGAUAAAAAAUGGCUCACAUUUACAAAGUAAUUUCCACUGUUCUAAGAACUUCACAUAUAUUCUUAGUCCUCCCAGUAACCUGGGAGGGAAGCACUAUUACUUUACCCAUUUGUAGAGGAGGAAAGUGAGGUUAAAGCUAAUAAGUGGCAGGGAUGUGAACACAGCCAUCUGGCUCCACAGGCUGUGUCUUUAACUAGGCUCUGUUGUCUUAGCAAACUAAGUUCUUCAUCUGUGUCUCCCGCCACCCUCGUGUCCACAUUAGCAGCAAUGAGGAAGGAAGCCCCAUCUUUGGCUUCCUCACUCUGCUUUACACCCUCCCCCCCCCCCCCCCCCCAUCCAGGGUUUCCUGAGCAUGUUUGCAGGAUCCUGCAGAGCAUGUCUUUCGCAUUCUGACCUUUGCAUUAGCCCCUACCUAAGUGGAUCCACACUCUUGCCAGAGUGACCUUUUGUAUCAGAUGGCUUCCUUGCUUAAAAUCUUGGCUUCUCCUGGCUUGAAGGGUAGAACUUAAACUCUGAAGCAUGGGCCUGACCCUCUGUAGGGAGAGCGCCAGUAACCCUCCUCUGUACUCCCUGCCUUUCAUUGCUUAAGCAGCGGUUCUCAACCUGUGGGUAGCGACCCCUUUGGCGGUCGAACAACCCUUUCACAGGGUCGCCUAAGACCAUCCUGCAUAUCAGAUAUUUACAUUAUGAUUCAUAACAGUAGCAACAUUACAGUUAUGAAGUAGCAACGAAAAUAAUUUUAUGGUUGGGUCACAGCAUGAGGAACUGUAUUUAAAGGACCAGAAGGUUGAGAACCACUGGAAAGGGAGGAGUGUGUAGUCAGCAAUAGGAGAAUGACACUACUUGAGAGUUAAACUCACAUUGUAAAAUAGUUGCUAUUUGGUGUACAGCAGGUAUUCAAGUACUUCAAUGGCAUUUUAUUAUAACAUUGAUAGAAUGCCCUAGGAACUUCACUUGUUUAUAUAUUAGCCUGUGGUAAAGUUGGUUUCAUUAUAAUUGUUUUGCCACAGUUCCAAGAAACUAUCAACAAAUGAGGACUUACAGUGUAUAUCAAUCUCCCGUGACUUUAACUGCAGCAGACGUAUUAGUGGGUGUGUAUUUUGGAGUUUUUUUUGCUAAUACGCUCAGCACUGAGUGCUUGCUGUUUAAUAACACUAUGAAAUAUAGAUUCUAUUAACUGUAUUUUAUAGAUGAAGAGAAUGAAGUUCAGAGAGGUUAAAUAAUUUAAUCAUGUUCACAUAGGUAGUAAGAGGAAGGAUAGGGCCUUGAAUCCAAGUAGUCUGACUCCAGAAUUGCCUGUAGUUACUACACUGCUUAUACUAGCAAAAGAGAAUUUGCCAAUGUGCAUAUUUGAAAAUCAGAAGCUGAAACACAAAAUUUUUACCAGAAAUUGCCUCCUAGAAUGGGAUCAUGUAUUCGGGGAAACAUUCUCAUCGUUGAACUUUUUUCUCACUGAGUGGCAUACCCAAUUUUAGUCGAAGACUGACUAUCAUUAAAUGACAUAAAGGCACAAUUACCAGGUGCACUGGCUAAUAAUGCAAAUUUUGUAAUCAAAGAAUACACGAUAAUUUCAAGAAAAACAUCAAAAGUGCUUUAUUCAAAGAAAUGUCCAUUGCUAGCUACACAUUUCCCCCAUCUUUCAGGUAAUUUGUGGAUACCAUCCCAAUAGAACUUUUCUUAUUUUGAGGCAAACCAUUUAGAAACCCAAUUUUCCACUUCUUCGUACAUUUUGAAGUGCUGCUCAGAGAGUGCAUGUGCCAUCAAUCAGAACAAGUGGUAAUCUGAAGGAGCAAGGUCUGGUGAAUACAGCGGGUGGGUUAAUACUUCCCAGGCAAGAUCUUUUAAUGUGUCUUUAACUGAUUUUGAAGUCUGUGAUGGUGCGUUAUCAUGAAGCAAAGUAACUUUGCCAUGUCUUCUGGCACAUUCUGGUCGUUUCACGAUCAAAGCGUGGUUCAAAUUGAUUACUUGUUGUCGGUAGUGAUCAGUAUUAACGGUUUCACCUGGUUUUAGGAGCUCAUAAUACACCACACCUUCCUGAUCCCACCAAAUGCAGAGCAUUGUCUUCUUUCCGAAGCGAUUUGGCCUUGCAGUCAAUGUUGAUGGUUGACCUGGAUCAACCCAUGAUUUUGUGUGUUUGGGAUUCUCAAAAUAAAUCCACUUUUCAUCGCCA